UACGGGGGGGGUAAGCGUUGUUCGGAAUUACUGGGCGUAAAGGGCUCGUAGGCGGCCAACUAAGUCGGACGUGAAAUCCCUCAGCUUAACUGGGGAACUGCGUCCGAUACUGGAUGGCUUGGAUUUGGGAGAGGGAUGCGGAAUUCCAGGUGUAGCGGUGAAAUGCGUAGAGAUGUGGAGGAACACCGAUGGCGAAGGCAGCCUCCUGGGCCAGCACUGACGCUCAUGCACGAAAGCGUGGGGAGCAAACAGG
rnacentral:rRNA from 1 species